UAUAAGUUCCAGGAGGUAAAAGAACUUCAUCUUCUCUGUUCAUUGAUGUAUAUUGAGCAUUUAGGUAAGUGCCUAAUACUCGGUAUUUGCUGAUUGAAUGAAUGAAUGAGUUAAAACAAAUCUUGAAGGAUCUUUAUCAACUUAUUUAAGGUGGCCUGGGUUAUAACACGGUGCAUGUCACAUAAAGAGAGCCUCAUGCUUUGAUAUGAAACCAAGCUACUUUAACAUAGACUACUCUGGGAUCCAGGAAGAUAAAAAGCAGAUGGAAUAGCAAUAACAACAACUAAAGGACAGAAAAACCUAGCAACCACAAGGCAAGAGCAAGAUAAAAAUAAGAAUAAUAAAAGAUAAACGCACGAAUUCCUAAACACCUUCCUCCUCUUCUCUCAGGAGUUCCAAUGCCUGAAUAAGAAAAUAACAGACAUCCCAGAAGAAUAUUGAACAAUGCAUACAAAUAAGUACAUCGCUGAAGAAGCAAACUGCCCGAUAAAGUCUUCAAUCUCUCUGGUGGUAAGAAUGAUCAGGGAAAU